rnacentral:rRNA from 1 species
UGGGGAAUAUUGCGCAAUGGGCGAAAGCCUGACGCAGCGACGCCGCGUGAAGGAUGAAGGCCUUAGGGUUGUAAACUUCUGUUAAGUGGGAAAUGGUACCACUAGAGAAAGCACCGGCUAAUCUCGUGCCAGCAGCCGCGGUAAUACGAGAGGUGCAAGCGUUAUUCGGAAUUAUUGGGUGUAAAGGGUGCGUAGACGGUGUGUUAAGUCUGUUGUUAAAUCUUUCGGCUUAACCGAAAAUCAGCAAUGGAAACUGGCAUGCUAGAGUGUGAGAGAGAGAAGUGGAAUUCUUGGAGUAGCGGUAAAAUGCGUAGAUCUCAAGAGGAACACCGAUGGCGAAGGCAGCUUCUUGGCUCACACUGACGUUGAGGCACGAAAGCGUGGGGAGCAAAC